AGUAACGGCGAGCGAAAGGGGAAGAGCUCGUAGCCGAAUCCUGGGCCUGCGGCCCUGGAAAUGUGGCGUGUGGGAGGCGGCAUCCUCCCUGCCGGACCCUUGGCGCAAGUCCCCAUGAGAGGGGCAUUCCCGGAGCGGGUGCUAGGCCCUUACCGCCCGGGGUCCGGAGGGGAGUCGCCGUUCUCCUUGGAGUCGGGUUGCUUGGGAGUGCAGCCCAAAGCGGGUGGUAAACUCCACCUAAAGCUAAAUAAGACCGAGAGACCGAUAGCAAACAAGUACCGUGAGGGAAAGUUGAAAAGCACUUUGAAGAGAGAGUUCAAGAGUACGUGAAACCGUUUGGAGGUAAACGGGUGGGGCUUCGAAAGCCUAAGCGGGUGGCAGGUUCACGUUUCGGAGCGACGGAUCCGCCUCCGGCUGCCUCGGGAAGGGGAGCCGGAGGGCCGGGGAAGGAGCUUCGUUGCCGCAAGUCUGCACCCCUGCCAUUGGGACGCCGCGACGGGUUGGGCCGUCGUCGUGGGGCCGAGAAGGAAAGGUGGCCGCCCUUCCUUUUUUAAA
rnacentral:rRNA from 1 species